rnacentral:rRNA from 1 species
AGGCAAAUCCGGGGUACUCUAUGCUGAGAACUGAUAGCAAGCUGUACUUGUACAGUGAAGUGGCUGAUACCAUGCUUCCAGGAAAAGUCUCUAAGCUUCAGUUACAUAGGAAUCGUACCCGAAACCGACACAGGUGGUCAGGUCGAGUAGACCAAAGCGCUUGAGAGAACUCUGCUGAAGGAACUAGGCAAAAUGGUACCGUAACUUCGGGAGAAGGUACGCUGCCGACGGUGAUAGGAUUUACUCCUUGAGCUAUUGGCAGCCACAGAAACCAGGCCCCUGCAACUGUUUAUUAAAAACAUAGCACUCUGCAAACACGAAAGUGGACGUAUAGGGUGUGAUGCCUGCCCGGUGCUGGAAGGUUAAUUGAUGGGGUUAGCGUAAGCGAAGCUCUUGAUCGAAGCCCCAGUAAACGGCGGCCGUAACGAUAACGGUCCUAAGGUAGCGAAAUUCCUUGUCGGGUAAGUUCCGACCUGCACGAAUGGCAUAAUGAUGGGGGCGCUGUCUCCAGCAGAGACUCAGUGAAAUCGAAUUCGCCGUGAAGAUGCGGUGUACCCGCGGCUAGACGGAAAGACCCCGUGAACCUUUGCUGCAGCUUGACAUUGAACUUUGAUCUUACUUGUGUAGGAUAGGUGGGAGGCUUUGAAACCGAGACGCUAGUUUCGGUGGAGCCAAUCUUGAAAUACCACCCUGGUAAUAUUGAGGUUCUAACUCUGUCCCGUUAUCCGGGACGAGGACCAUGUCUGGUGGGUAGUUUGACUGGGGCGGUCUCCUCCUAAAGAGUAACGGAGGAGUACGAAGGUGCGCUCAGCGUGGUCGGAAAUCACGCGUAGAGUAUAAAGGCAAAAGCGCGCUUAACUGCGAGACCCACAAGUCGAGCAGGUACGAAAGUAGGUCUUAGUGAUCCGGUGGUUCUGUAUGGAAGGGCCAUCGCUCAACGGAUAAAAGGUACUCUGGGGAUAACAGGCUGAUACCGCCCAAGAGUUCAUAUCGACGGCGGUGUUUGGCACCUCGAUGUCGGCUCAUCUCAUCCUGGGGCUGAAGCAGGUCCCAAGGGUAUGGCUGUUCGCCAUUUAAAGAGGUACGCGAGCUGGGUUUAGAACGUCGUGAGACAGUUCGGUCCCUAUCUACCGUGGGCGUUGGAAAUUUGAGAGGAUCUGCUCCUAGUACGAGAGGACCAGAGUGGACGAACCUCUGGUGCACCGGUUGUGACGCCAGUCGCAUCGCCGGGUAGCUAUGUUCGGAAGGGAUAACCGCUGAAAGCAUCUAAGCGGGAAGCCUACCUCAAGAUAAGAUUUCCCUAGGACUUUAUGUCCUCUAAAGAGCCGUUGAAGACCACGACGUUGAUAGGUUGGAUGUGGAAGCAUAGUGAUAUGUGAAGCUGACCAAUACUAAUUGCUCGUGAGGCUUGACU